rnacentral:lncRNA from 1 species
GAGAAAGUGACUUGAUCGAUGUGAAGCUGUAGCUUCUCCACAGACUGCAGAUCUGAGGAGGAGUAGCUGACCCACAGCUUCCUGCAGCCCCCAUCCCCAGCUUGUCCAGGUCCAGGCCAGGAGACACCAACCAAGCCUGCUCUGAGACAUGAGGGAUGAACACAUUGUGGGAAAAGGAAGGAGGGUGAUUUGGGCUCUGACAUUAUUUGCUAAAGUCUGCACGGUAACAUUUGACUUCUCAUCUCGGACAUCAUAAUCAAUCUCUUUCCACUCUCCUGUUGGCCCAGUUAAGUUCACGCCUGCUAUUUACUUAGUAACGCUUUCAUGGAUUCUAGAGAAACUCCCUGUUGGUAUGUUUUCAUGCAUUCUGUGAAAAUUCACGCAAGACUAGUUCCGAACACAGUAGCAGAAAUCAAAGGGCUGAAACCAUUGUGCUUUCAAAGGGACAGGUGAUCACCAGAAAGUAUUCGAGGAGUAGGCGAAAGGUUACAAACAGGGACGGCGGUUGUCCUGUGAUUAAUCUAGGCCCCGUUGUUUCCUGAAUACUUUGCCAUUUCUGUUUACAAAGCGGUGACUGGCAUUGUUUAAAUGAGACAAAUCAUUUUGCCUUCCUUUGGCAGCUUCAAAUCGACAAGAAUUUCUUACAACACCUUGUUUUACUCCCUCUUUAUUUUUUGCAGCAACAAAUACGUAUCCAAAUACUUCCAUCAUUAUGAGCCGGGAAACAAUGCCCAACUGCUGAAACAUUAUCUACAAACCGAGAUUUUGUUUCCCAAAGACUUGAGACCAUUUGAUGACACUUCUAGACAAAAUCAUAUCUUCAUUCUCGUAGGUGAAGGAAAAAUAAAACCAGGUGCACAAAAAACUUCCUGACCUCCAGUUCAUCUAUGUUCACCAAGCCAUGAACUGAAAAUAAGACUGAAAUACAUCAAGGUAAUGUAUUUAUUCGUCAGUCUAAUGAGAUGUCGAUUGUUGCUCAGGACCAGAUCAUUUUUG